rnacentral:rRNA from 1 species
GUAGGUGGCAAGCGUUGUCCGGAAUUAUUGGGGCGUAAAGCGCGCGCAGGCGGUUCUUUAAGUCUGAUGUGAAAGCCCACGGGCUCAACCGUGGGAGGGUCAUUGGAAACUGGAGAACUUGAGUACAGAAGAGGAAAGCGGAAUUCCACGUGUAGCGGUGAAAUGCGUAGAGAUGUGGAGGAACACCAGUGGCGAAGGCGGCUUUCUGGUCUGUAACUGACGCUGAGGCGCGAAAGCGUGGGGAGCAAACAGGAUUAGAUACCCUGGUAGUCCACGCCGUAAACGAUGAGUGCUAAGUGUUAGGGGGUCUCCGCCCCUUAGUGCUGCAGCUAACGCAUUAAGCACUCCGCCUGGGGAGUACGGCCGCAAAGGCUGA